rnacentral:rRNA from 1 species
GCGAGAAUACUUUACAACGCGGGAAACCGUGAUAAGGGGACACCGAGUGCCAGCAUCAUAUGUUGGCUGUCCGGAUGUGUAAAAUACAUCUGUUAGCAAGGGCCGGGCAAGACCGGUGCCAGCCGCCGCGGUAACACCGGCGGCCCGAGUGGUGAUCGUGAUUAUUGGGUCUAAAGGGUCCGUAGCCGGUUUGGUCAGUCCUCCGGGAAAUCUGACGGCUCAACCGUUAGGCUUUCGGUGGAUACUGCCUGACUUGGAACCGGGAGAGGUAAGAGGUACUACAGGGGUAGGAGUGAAAUCUUGUAAUCCCUGUGAGACCACCUGUGGCGAAGGCGUCUUACCAGAACGGGUUCGACGGUGAGGGACGAAAGCUGGGGGCACGAACCG